rnacentral:lncRNA from 1 species
UAUGUUGCCAUGAUUACUGUUUUGUAAAUAUGCUUUAUGAACUGUGAUUGUAUAUAUGUUGGAUGCAAAAAUAAAGUAUGUGAACGUUCAUGUAUCCAGCCUCGUGUAUUGAUUUACAAUAACUUUCCAGUACGGAACCUCUAUCAUCUCAGUAAAACGGGCCUAAAUUGUUUGGAUUGUAAAAUACUGUUAUUCAUUUCCGACGGACUAUAGAGUUAACAAAAACGAAACACACCAACAAAACAACCACAUGUAUAAUCGACAAUUCAAAUUACGAC